AGCAGAAGAGGCUUCGCCCUCUGAGCGAGCUUAGAACUCCGCUGGGUGGCUUUUUGUGGUUGCAAGGCUGGGGCUGUCACCAGGGAGUCCACAAAGCACUCCACCACUGAGCUACAUCUGCAGCCCUGCGCUGGGUGCUUUUAAAGCUUUAGCAGAGUCUUUGGACUUGAUCAGAAGAACAAUGGUGGCAGUAGGGCCUGGAGCGUUAUAUUAUGCAGUUACUACAGGAAGAAUCUGUUACUCCUCUAGAGGUGUGGACAGAGAAGGAAGAGAAAAGGAAGGAAAAAAAAGAAGCGUCUGAGAGCAUGGGGGGAAAGACCGUGGCCCAGACCUGGGGAAUAUGCCCGCUGACAGAGAGACUGAGAGAGCGAGUUCCCAUUUUUAAGUACGCUUGGCUGGAUGCAUAUCCCUCCAUGCUCCAUGCAAAGGCCGAGGUUGGGCAGCUAGCACUUUAGCCUUUCCCUAAGGGCGCUAAGUAGGAGACCCUGGAAGAUCAACCACGUAGGGACCAGGGAAGAUCACAGGGCAAGCUUAUAAAUCUGGACAAAUCAAGGAAGAAUUCAGGCUGGGGGCAGCAGGUGGGGCGGUGCACACUCCUAGUCCUAGCUCCUCAGGAGGCCACGGAGGGGACAGUCCCUGAAGAUGCCAGGCCUGCGGGUGUGGCUCAGCGUCUGCCUAGCACGCUGAGGCAGUGGGUUCCAAGAGCAACAUAACGACAAAGAAAAACAAAACAAAACACGGUGAGACUCGAAUCCAAAAUAAACAAACAAACGAGAAAAGGAAUUCAGGGCUCAAGCGAGGCUGGAAAGGUGAGGAGCCUGCAGAUCUAGGAGAGAAGGACGCUUUUCUGCAAACAGUUCUCUCGCCUGUCCUUCCAUGCUCCACUGGAAUGAGACCAACUGAUUGAUAAUGAAUCUCAUCCGCCAGCCCAAGUGGGGAUGAACCGAGGAGCAGGGGCCUGGCUGUGUGCAGGGGCCCAUGGAGGGCCUGGCUUGCUUGGUUGCCGUUCCCUACUCCAGCCUAGCAGCCUCCACCCUGGAGAACUUAGUGCUUCCACGGGCAGGGAGGGAAGAGACCCUGCCCAGCUCCUCUCUGUCCUCCAGCACCUCCGCAGCUUCUCACACUGGGCAGCCGGCUGGGAUAAGGAAUGCACGCUGUUGACUCCAGACUUCUCUCUGACUGAGUUGUCCGGGAUACCUAACUAAGCACUCUCCCAACUGUAAGAGAACAAAGAGCUGGACGUGCCGCAGGCCGUUCUUCUGGUUUUCUUGUUCCCUGGUCCUGUCCUCCACCAGCUCCCCAGCCAGGAUGGACCCCAGGAGCGAUAGCUUCCUGCUGUGAAAGCAGCCUCGGGGACCAGGGCGGUGGCGAUCUCAGGCCUCACAGGGUUGGCUCACUGCUUCAGCCACAGCUCGGAGGGCUGAGCUCAGGACGUUUGGGCAGGGACUGAGUUUUGACCUGGAGACCUCUGAAAUCUUAUCAAGGGGACCAGAAAACACAAAUGGAAAAAAAAAAAAAAAAUCAAUGAUCAAUGUAGUUUUUUGGUACUGGGAAUUGAACUCACGACCUCAUGCUUGCCAGGCAGGCACUGUGCUGCUGAGCUAUAUCUCUGGCCAAUGUAGGUUUUUUUGAGUUCAGAAGUGAAUCUUGGGCUCUACCAGAGGCAAGACAUGGGUAAGCUUUCGAGCAAUUUACUUUGGUCUGGGAAAACCAGUGCAAGGGCUCAUUUCAUUAUGUAAAUGUAAAUACGUGGUGGCUCGAAGAGAAGUGUGAGCUGGGACAAGGUGAGCAGGUGUGUCCAUGUUGGAGUCAUAUAGAUCUCUGCUGUUUCCUGAGGGAAACCUGGGUUUUUCAAGAAAGGAUUUGGCCUAUGACAGGCUGACGCCCCACUGACUGCUUUUAGAGCUCACCUUAGAUGGAAGAACUGCUUUGACAGAGGCUUUAUGGGGACCCUGGGCAUGAGCAACAGAGAGUAGGGGAGAGUCUGUCCCUACGGACUGCUCUGAGAGUCCCAAGAAAGAUCCCCUUGGCUAGAAUAUUGCUGCUUCCAUGAUGGGCGCCUUCAGCAGUAAGACCCUUCUGCAUGGCUUCUUUACAGCCAAACAUUCACUGGGUGAUGCUCAGGUAUUUGUAGCAAGAGGGAGUGAAUAAAAUUUAUAGGUUCUAAGUUCUUGAAUAAAAAAAAAUUUUUUUACUAACCUCUGGAUGAAAUUUAGCAUUUCCCUGAACAAUGAUGUAAGCAAUAAAUUGCAGCAGUACCAGAACUUGUGACUUUGUCACCAAUAGAAAUCAUAGAUAUGACCUAUCAUUUUACAGUUGCUGUUAGUUUGAAAUGUUGUUUAUGCGCAUGACUGCUUCCACAUUAGACCUGCUGUUAGACCUGCUAGUAGAACCUGCAGGAUUAAAACAAAUUUCUAGUUGGGGCCAGGUGGUAGAGUUCUUUGCAGGUGGCUUGCACCGGUCCUGACUGAAUCCUGAAUCCUUGGCUUAGGCCAUCUGGAAGGAUGUGGGGUAAAUGACUGGGCAAAGCAGAAGCUUCCUUCAUGGGGUUUCCAACUAAUGCACGGGUCUUGAACACAACUCAUUUUACCAGUGGAAACUAAUAUCGAAUGCUCUAUGCUAAUGAAUAAGCCCUCCGGUAUUAAUAUGAAAUAAAGAUAGUUGAAGUCAUGGUGGUA